CGGGGGUGGAUGCCGUCUCGCCAGGCUCGCACCAGAGGCUGCGCGCUUUCAUCUUUAAUCGUCUCUUCUCGGUUUCCUUUGAGUGGGGAUAUAAGAAGGCUCGCGUCUCUCCAUCAAACCGCAUCUCUAAUUUAAACAGCUGUUAAUAAGGGUUAAAUCUGCAGGCUGAGCUGGCCCUUCACUUGUUACUUGCAAAGGGGGGAAAAAAUCAAUGGAGCAGGAAGCCAGAGGGGCGUCCAUUUUGAAAAGCCGUAAUGAAUUACGUUUCCUUAGCAAAGCUGGCAACCUCCAGUCCUGCUCCCACAGCCUGCCUUUCACAUAGCCGAGCCCUCUGUGACACAUCAAAUUUAAUGAGACUGCACAGAUCUCAAAUAAGGGAGGGGAACGCCGCUGCCGCUGCUGGGGAACUUUAUUAAGGAGGAACAGAGAAAACUCGUGAGCUUUUUAAAACAGUCCCUUAAAGGCAAAGGAUAUUUUCGGGGUAGUAGAAGGAGGUCCCUGAUUUCAAUGUUUCAAGUCCUCCUCCUAGAGCAUUUUAACAACUAAAUUCAGUGGGAGCUUUUGGAUCUCCUCAUGAGCAAACAGGUCUGCAAACCUCAGGACCAUGGAGGACGACCAUGGAGGACCAAGGGGACUGUGUGAGGAAGACAGGUGUGGGGCAGGAGUGAGAGAGGGGAGAGGAUCAACAAAGCCGGAAGGAACAACUCCACAACGCCACCGUCUUAGCUGCAUGAAAAUAUUUCCAGAUUUGAAAAGGCUUUGUUCAUGUUCCAAGAUAUCUACUUGUGCUCCAACCAUCACAUGCUCUGUUGGAAGGAAGAGAUGGAGGAAGAUACAACCAAUAAGAACAAUUUCCUGGGGCCAGCAUUGUGGUAUAGGAGGUAAACCUACUACCUGCAAUGCCAGCAUCCCAUAUCGGUGCCGGUUUGAGUCCUGGUUGCUCCACUUCUGAUCCAGCUCCAUGCUAAUGACCUGGGAAAGCAGUGGAAGAUGGCCCAAGUGCUAGGGUCUCUGCACCCAUGUGGGAAACCUGGAAGAAGCUCCUGACUCCUGGCUUCAGCCUAGCCUGGCCAUUGCAACCAUUUGGGAAGUGAACCAGCAAAUGAAAGAUCUCUCUGUCUCUCCCUCUAUCUCUGUAACUCUGACUUUCAGUUAAAUAAAAAUAAAUCUCUUAAAAAAUUUAGUGAGUUUAAUUUAAUAAUAAAGAGCAAGAAGAAGUUCCAGCAGUGUUCUAACACCCUAUUGGGCAGAAAUCUGACCUGCAAAGGAAGCUGGGAAUCCAGUCUGUGUUUGGAGUCACAUUACUAAGGAAUACCAGAACACCAUCUCUUUCCCAUCAGUGCAGAGUCUGAAUUCUAGCUGUUAGCUCUGUGACUUCAGGACAAGGUGAGCCUGUUUUCUUAGCCCUAAAAUGUGAAGGUACUGUCAAUUUUAUGUGGUUAUUGUGAGGUUAAAUACUAUCACGACUAUUUACUACCUAAUUAACAAGUUGAUUGUCAUUACUUGUUUAGUGGCAGUUGCUGUUUUCACAAGGUAUGGUUGACAGACAAAGAAGGAGCCUCAUAUCUAGAAAAGUCAGGAAAGGACUCAAGGAUGUGAUUGCUUACAGUUGAAAUAGUCAUAGGUACGAUUCUACAAUGAUUUUUACUUAGUUAAAAACCAUAUCAGGGCUGGUGCUGCCUGCAGUAGCGGCAUCCCACAUGGACACCAGUAUGAGUCCCGGCUGCUCUACUUCCGAUCCAGCUCUCUGCUGUGGUCUGGGAAAGCAGUAGAAGAUGGCCCAAGUCCUUGGGUCCCUGCACCCACAUGGGAGACCAGGAGGAAGCUCCUAGCUCCUGGCUCCUAGCUUUGGAUUGGCUCAGGUCCAGGCACCGUUGCCACCUGGGGAGUGAAUCAGCAGAUGGGAGACCUCUCUUUCUCUGUCUCUCUGCCUUUCCUUCUCUCUCUGUGUAACUUUGACUUUGAAUGAAAUAAAUAAAUCUUUUAAAAAACCAUAUCUUGUAGACUGUUCAGCCUUGUUAUUAAGACUCCUACUUUCUACAUGAAAGUGCAUGGAUUUGCUUCCCCUCUCCAGAUCCUGAUUCCUGUUCCUCACCAAUGAACACCAUAGGAGACAGCAGUGACAGCUUGAGCAAUUGAAGUCCCACAACUAUAUGGGAGAUCUGGACUGUGUUCCCAGCUCCUGGAUCUGGCCCCAGCCCAGCCCCUACCAUUUCAGGUAUUUGGGGCAUGAGCCAGUAGGUAGGCUCUCUCUCACUCUUGCUGUUUCUUAAAUAAAAACACUUAAAAAAAAAACAACCAUAGGGAUAUGCGUUUGGUGAAAUGGUUAAGACUCUGCUUGGUAUACCUGCACCCCAUAUUGUAGUGUGGGUUUCACUUCCAAUUCCAGCUUCCUGGUGGUGUGCAUUCUGUGAGGCAGCAGGUGGUGGUUCAAGUGGUUGAGCCCCUGCCGCCGUGUUGGGAGGCCCAAACUGACUUCAUGCUCCUGGCUUCAGCCUGAUCCAGACCUGGUUGUUGGAGGCAUCUGGGGAGUAGAAUGGAGAUCUCCUUCUCUCUGCCUCUGUCUCUCUGCCUUUGAAAUAAAUAAAAAUAUUGCAAGCACUUCUCCAACUAGAACUGUAAGCAUUGUAGAGUUUACUUUCUCACCUCUUCAUUGAGGACCUAAUCACCAGUUCGUGUCUGCCAGCCACUGAGCAUCUACCCCGUCUAUUGCAUUCUUUUGAUUUCUACACCUACCGCACUAUGCCAGGACAUUGUGCGUGGGCUGCUGAAACAGCCUCGUAACUGGUCUACCUCUAAUUUGCUGUUAUUUUAUGUAUUAUUCUCUGCCCUGAAGAGUGAUCUACUAAAAUUGCAGACACACAGCUCCUCACUGAUUGCUGAAUGAAGGAAGAGUGCCUUGGCAUGGAGUUCACACUACAGCUCCACAUUUCUAGCUGCACCUCCCAACUCUUCUCCACAGCCCAUUGUAUGACCUUUUGUGCUUAUGCAUUUGUUCAUGGUGUUCCUGAGCCAUUUCUCUUCUGACCAGCUAAAUCCUAGUCACACUUGAAGAAUGAGCUAAGAUACCACCUCCUCCUUGAAGACUUCCCCUUGUCUCCUUAGGUGGAUUCAAAUGUCUGUUACUUUAUAUUUUUACCAUGCAGAGUUCGAAUUCCACUGCAUUAAACAUAAAUAUACUGAGGGCUUUCUGUGUAUUAGAUAUGAGACAUAAUCCUUGCUCCGAGGGAGCUCUUAACUUAGGGAGGGGAGACAUAAGCAGAUUGUGAUCCCACAUGCUGAUGCUACACUGUGAGGAUAUAGAUGAAGUAAGUGGGCGAUAUAGGAGGACUGGUUAUCUGGAGACGAGUAGGGAUGGAAGGAGAUAUACAUAGGGAAAUCUCCCCCGAGCAGUUGAUGAUGGUACUGGGUUUUGAGAAAGGUCUAGAAAUUAACUACACAGAAAAGGGCAAGAGAUAGAGGUGAAGCAAAUCACCUAAAGCAGAAGAACAGCAGGAGAACAUGGUGUUCAGGGAGUUAAGCCUACUGGUUCACUCCCCAGUUGGCCACAGAGGCUGGAACUGUGCCAAUCCAAAGCCAGGAGCCGGGAGCCAGGAGUUUCCUCUGGGUAUCCCAUGCAGGUGCAGGGGUCCAGGCACUAGGACCAUCUUCUGUUGUUUUCUCAGGCCAUAGUGGGGAGCUGGAUGGGAAGAGGAGCAGCUGAGACCCAAAUUGGCGCCCAUACAGGAUGCUGACACUGCAGGCGGAGGCUUAGCCUACUAUGCCAACCCCCUCCCCUUUUGUUUUGCUGACUCUGUGAAGAAAGUUUAUCUUUAGGGGCCAGCAUUGUGGCACAGCAGGUUAAGCUGCCACCUGCAGUGCCAGCAUUCCAUAUGAGGGCUGCCUUAAGUCCUAGCUAUGCUCAUUGUAAUUCAGCUCCCUGCUAAUGUGCUUGGGAAAGCAGAAGAAAUGGUCCAAGUACCUGAGACCCUGCCACCCAUAUGGGAGACCUGGAUGGAGUUCCAGGCUCCUGGCUUCAACCUGGCUCAGCCCUUGGCCAUUGUAGCCAGUUGGGGAGUGAACCAGCAGAUGGAAGAUCUCUCUUUCUUUGUCCCUCCCUCUCUUUCUGUA